rnacentral:rRNA from 1 species
CCUACGGGGGGCAGCAGUGAGGAAUAUUGGUCAAUGGGCGGAAGCCUAAACCAGCCAAGUAGCGUGCGGGAUGAAGGCCCUACGGGUCGUAAACCGCUUUUGCACGGGGAUAACACCCUCCACUUGUGGAGGUCUGCAGGUACCGUGCGAAUAAGGGCCGGCUAAUUCCGUGCCAGCAGCCGCGGUAAUACGGAAGGCCCGAGCGUUAUCCGGAUUCAUUGGGGUUAAAGGGAGCGUAGGCGGGCGUUCAAGUCAGCUGUAAAAUCGCGCGGCUCAACCGCGCCCCGCAGUUGAAACUGGAAGCCUUGAGUUCACAAGAGGCAGGCGGAAUUCCUGGUGUAGCGGUGAAAUGCGUAGAUAUCAGGAGGAACACCGGUGGCGAAGGCGGCCUGCUGGACUGCAACUGACGUUGAGGCCCGAAAGCGUGGGGAGCAAACAGGAUUAGAUACCCCUGUAGUC